rnacentral:snRNA from 1 species
AUACUUACCUGGAGUCGGGCUUUCAGGUGAUCAGCCAGGCCGGGGCCCCGUGCCGAGGCCUGCCAUUGCACUCCGGUUGGCUGAAGCACGCCACUAUCCCAAACUGGGAUGGCUGGGACAUGUAGUUUUUGGUAGUUGGGCUUAGCGUGUGCGCCAGCCCCC